rnacentral:rRNA from 1 species
AUUGAACGCUGGCGGCAUGCUUUACACAUGCAAGUCGAGCGGCAGCGCGGGGGCAACCCUGGCGGCGAGCGGCGAACGGGUGAGUAAUGCAUCGGAACGUACCCUGGAGUGGGGGGAUAACGCCGCGAAAGCGGCGCUAAUACCGCAUAUGCUCUGAGGAGGAAAGUGGGGGACCGCAAGGCCUCACGCUCUGGGAGCGGCCGAUGUCCGAUUAGCUAGUUGGUGGGGUAAAGCUUACCAAGGCGACGAUCGGUAGCUGGUCUGAGAGGAUGAUCAGCCACACUGGGACUGAGACACGGCCCAGACUCCUACGGGAGGCAGCAGUGGGGGAAUAUUGGACAAUGGGCGGCAAGCCUGAUCCAGCAAUGCCGCGUGUGUG